rnacentral:rRNA from 1 species
UACAUGGGGUGCAAACGUUGCUCGGAAUUAUUGGGCGUAAAGCGCGCGUAGGCGGUUACUCAAGUCGGAUGUGAAAGCCCUCGGCUUAACUGAGGAAGUGCACCCGAAACUGAGUAGCUAGAGUACUAAAGAGGGUCGCGGAAUUCCCGGUGUAGAGGUGAAAUUCGUAGAUAUCGGGAGGAACACCGGUGGCGAAGGCGACCAUCUGGACGGAUACUGACGCUGAGACGCGAAAGCGUGGGUAGCAAACAGG